rnacentral:sRNA from 1 species
UGUUUUGCACAUCCUGACACAAGCUGUC